GGUUUUAUGCCAGCCUUUCCUAGGUUCAAGAGACUCCUCAUAAACAGAGUAAAGUGGAUUAGUUUAUAAGUUUUUCAAAGUCUCCUUAGAAGACAAUUUAGUGCCAGCACCUUCGGUUAUACUAAACCUGCCCUAGUAACUCUAAAACCCUUUUUUCAACCGGUAUAAUGUUCUUUAAAUAUAUUUUUUAGACCAAUUUUUACCAGGAUUAGUACCCUGCUACAAAAUUUUUUUAGGAAAAACCUAAGCUCUAUGGCCGUGUUAAAAUUUCAGAGAAAUUUGUCUAUUGAUAAUCCACAAUAUUAUUUAUAAGUUUUUUAUUUGUGUGUGCUCGUCUAAAUUCUUUUUUAAAAAAUGUUUUAUCGUCAGACUUCAUUUAAUAAAACUUUUCUAAGAUGAAUUGCAAUAACUUAAACCUCCAAUUAAUAAUCUUAGGAUUUGUUAGUAAUUUAAAUUUAUGAACCUCUUUUUAACAGACUCAUAUCGUCCGUCACUCUCCAAGAGAUAAGUCGUAGCAAAGUAAUUACAGUAGAAACUGUAAUUCAAAUUU
rnacentral:rRNA from 1 species